GAAAAGUCUAAUAAUAUAAGAAGCGUUCUCGAAUAAUAUCUAAUAUCUACCUUCCAGAUUUUCAAUAGAAACUUAAUUAGAACAAAGACAAAAAAGAAACGCGAUAAAACUAAAAUCAGCCAUACCGUUCACAAUUCUCACCCCCUUCCUCGAGUGACCUCGUCUCAGAGUUCACGAUUCGAGCGACUCGCCGCCGCGCAUCACCACUCGCCGCCCUGAAUCACCACUCGCCGCCGUGAAUCACGCCAUGCAUCGGCCGUCCACAAUGUCUGAGCUAUUGCGUCACCGUGUCUCACCAUCGUUCUGCGGAAUCGAUGAUGAAACAUGAAUCGGACGAUUCAGGCAACGACUUCGAUCUCGCUUGCGACGACGAAUCGGAGUACUGCUCCAGCCAGGAAGCUUCGUUCUCUUACCUACACUCUGAGAUCUUCUGCGAUUGUUCAAAGCUCUCUGAUUACACUUCGUCACUGUUCAUCGAUUCUGGAAGCCAGUUUUCGGAAGGAUCUGGAAGGAAUUCUGGCUUAUUACUUCAAGCGUCGAAGAAGAUGUUUCUCUUCAGCUUUAGGUACGUUUGCUUAUUGCUUCAAUUACUUCAGAGCUCAAAAUUACGUUCUGUUGAAAAUCUGCUUCUUCCUCUGUUUGGUUUUAUCUUGUGAUUUCUUUAUUUGGUGGUUCUUAAUUUACAGCUUGUCUGAUUUUAGUUUGCAAGUUUUGAAGAUUUCAGUGCUUCAGCACAAAUGGUUCACUUGAUCAUUGAGAUAGGUUGCUUUGAAACUAAAUCCAAUUUUGAAUUGCACAUUGAUCAGUACUUUGUUACUUGUUAUUGUUUUGUUGCCUAUCUCUCAAAGUAUAUUUUCUUUAACUUACAAAUUGCUAUCAAGUUUAAUGUGUUUUUUCAAUUAAUCUUAUGUGAUAGUCACCUUGCUAGUUCUUUGGUUUUACACCAUUUAGCAUGGUUCUAAGCACCACCUGGUAAUAUUCUCUUUUUGACAUGAUCUAUCAUAGUGUAUAAUCUUUUUGUCGCCUUGCAGGUGUGUGUGUGUGUGUUUAUGCACUAAACUUAGCAUAUUACCCCGAUGAGUUGAACAGAAAGAGUAGAAGUUAGGUUAUUUCUCCCAAAAUGAUUGACUAUUUUAGAUGCAAUCCGUUCCUGAGCUAAAGUCAAUAUAGUUACUAGCUUGUGGUGCUUAAUGAUGCCAUAUGUUCUCGGAAUAUCUGGUGGUAAAUUGGUAAUUGCGCUCACCAUGUGAAGCUUCAUUUUGUGAGUGUCACUUUUUAUGCUUUCCAGUUCAUAAUUCAUUGUGUGCUUGAUUUCCAGAAAAUUUUGAACAUAUUGUUGCUCCUUUUUUAAGAGAGGGGUGGUGGUGACGCCGGUGAACAGAUGGAAAACGAUGUAUGCUUACCUCAACAAUAACAAGCUUUUCUAAUUAUUGUUCUCCAUGACAUGACAUAUUUCAUUCUAUCCAUUUUGGUUCUUAAAUUUAGUUAUACUUAUAUCAUUUUCUGAAAUAUACCUAAAACUGAUCUGCGUACAUAUGAUGAAAUUUAAUGAAUAAGAAUGAUCUUCUAUUGCAUUCAACUUGCAUCACAUGACACUUCUUAGUAAUUCCUUACUGCAUUGUUUUCCUCCCACUAUAUCGUGUUACGGCUAUAUGUUGAACUGAUGCAUUUUGCUCUCAUGCUAUGUGACUAAAAUUAGAUUAGAUCUUUGGUUAUAUCAUUAUUUAAAUUGGUAAUCUUGGCUCUAAUCCUAAUUGUACGAUGCAGGUAGCCUUCAUUUCCUCGUGUUUCUUUCCUGGUAGGUAAUGGUUAACUAAAUCUUCUCAACAUGCAGAACAUGGUAGCAUUCUUCUAUUGUGUAUAUAUUGGAGGGGAGACAUAUAACAUAUUUGGUUCCAUUGAUAAAGAUCAAUUUUGUAUAAGACUUCUGAUUGCAUUUUUGCUCAUUGCAGCGGCUUUUCUUGGUGAUCAGAGACAGUAUGAUGUGACUCUAAUCACUCAUUUUCUUUUUUCAAUUUUUUCUCCUCUUUUAAUCUCUCUUCAAGUGUAUUGUUUGUGUUUAUUUGGGUUUGGAGAAUGUGAUUUGAUGUGUGUUUGUGCAGAUUGUGGGAUGGAGAAUAUCCUGAAGCCAAGUGAGUUAUAAAGGGUCGUGACUGCGGUUUUUUACUAGAAGUGCACUCGUCACAGAAAAUUACUUUUGUGUAAAUGCAUGGAAAACUACUCAAGCAGAGGACUGCAUCAUCAUAAUGAACAAAAAGCUGGAAAAAAGGUUACUUGCCUGCAGUUUAUAGCAUAAAAAACAAAGCAGGUCUCGUCAUAACCGAUGAUAUUCAGUCAGGGCUUGGUCGUCUUGGUAGUCACUUUUUAGGUUUUGAGGUACAUGGAAUUGUUGUGGAUAUUGCAACUGUAGCAAAGAUAGCAUUUUAUCUAAGCUGCAUAUGUGAUUAUUUAAUAAAUGCUACUUAGCUAGGUUGACUAUGCAUGAACUAGAAAUAAUUGCAUUUGUAAUGCAAUUGAAGGUUACUUCACUCAUUCAAUGGGAAACAACAGUGAAGACUCUUCUCAACAAGGGGCACAAGAAAGGCUAUGAACUGGGACCUAGAAAGUUAUACAAUACAUUUGUUAGGUACUUUACGUAAAUUUUGGAUUCUCAAUGUUUCUUAUUUGGUAAAUUUAUUUCAUCUAAAUCAUGAGUUUAGAUUUUAGCUUUCAUAGCUCUUGUUUCACUCUGGUCUGAACCAGAUACAUAUGUUUGGUUCAAUCUGAAAGUUCUAAAAAAAGUUAAUGAGUUGAAACUUUUAAGACAAGUUGCAUACAUAAUCAUUUUGAGAUGAAAUGAUUUAUCUUAUAUUUAUACAUAUAUUUAUACCUUUCUAUUUAGCUAUGAUUUAUCUUAUAUUUGAUUGCUGCAAAUGUGGUUAACAUAUUAUAGGUGAAAUGUAGUAUUUUAAAUAUCUCAGGGUCCUCUAAAGUUCGAUUGUGUUGUUUGGAUUUAGUAUAUGAAAUGGCAACGGUUAGAAAACUGUUCUCUUUGACCUACAAAUAAAAACGUUCUCAAAUACCUUUGACAACGUUUUAGCAUAUGUUCUCCUUAUGAUCGUGGGGAACGCUUUUCCUGUGACAUCACAAGAAACGAGUGAAAAUGCGUUGCCAUAGGUUUACCAGAAAAACGUUCUCUAUAGCUUCUUAUUGAGAACGGUUUUCUGUUAUUGUUGCCGAUGACUCAGUAAAGAGUUGUAGAAAGAAUAGGCAACGCCUCAGACAACCACACUUGCAGAAACGUAUCAGAAACCAAAGGGAACGGUUUUUUGAUAUUAGGCCACGG